UACAGAGGUCCAUGCAGUGUUGGUGAUUCAUUGGGCGUAAAGGGUGCGUAGGUGCGGCGCGUAAGUCGGGUGUGAAAUUCGAGGCUUAACUCCGAAACUGCAUUCGAUACUGGCGUGCUUGAGGACUGGAGAGGAGACUGGAAUUUACGGUGUAGCAGUGAAAUGCGUAGAUAUCGUAAGGAAGACCAGUGGCGAAGGCGGGUCUCUGGACAGUUCCUGACACUGAGACACGAAGGCCAGGGGAGCAAACGGG
rnacentral:rRNA from 1 species